rnacentral:rRNA from 1 species
UAGGGAAUCUUCCGCAAUGGACGAAAGUCUGACCGAGCAACGCCGCGUGAGGGAGGAAGGUUUUCGGAUCGUAAAACUCUGUUGUUAGAGAAGAACAAGGACGUUAGUAACUGAACGUCCCCUGACGGUAUCUAACCAGAAAGCCACGGCUAACUACGUGCCAGCAGCCGCGGUAAUACGUAGGUGGCAAGCGUUGUCCGGAUUUAUUGGGCGUAAAGCGAGCGCAGGCGGUUUUUUAAGUCUGAUGUGAAAGCCCCCGGCUCAACCAGAGAAGAUCAUUGGAAACUGGAAGGCUAGAGUGCAGAAGGGGAGGGUGGAAUUCCAUGUGUAGCGGUGAAAUGCGUAGAUAUCAGGAGGAACACCAGUGGCGAAGGCGGCUCUCUGGUCUGUAACUGACGCUGAGGGACGAAAGCGAGGGGAGCAAACAGG